rnacentral:lncRNA from 1 species
AAAAGUAGAUAAAAGUAGAUAAAACGUGUUUUUGGAGGUCUUAUCGUUGUCAUAAUAUGUGAAGUCUUGCUUAAGAAUAUUUUGGGCACCUAGCUAUGGAAGGUAGAAUGGAAAUGGCUACAAUAAAAUCCUAAUUCUAAUAGAACACUAAUAAUGCUAAACAAGCUUUAAUUAAAUUCAGAGAAACCUCAAAAGAAUUACGAAGAAAUAAUAAAAAAUAUUAAAGAAAUAUUAUAAUGAUUACAAAUAUAUCUCAAAUACAUCUCAAUUCAAUAUUAAUUUAAUCCUAGUUGAAAUCCUAUUGCACUUCAUUCAAACUUUAGGCCAAAAAUUAUCUAAAUCUUGAAUCCUAAACAGACUCAAAUAAAAUCUUAAAUCCUAAAUCAAAUCCUGACCAAAUCCUAAACUCUCAAUCAACUCUUAACUAAAUCUUAAUCCUAAAUCAAACCCUAAUCAAAUC